AUAGAGAGGUUACACAGCAGAGAGCUACAGCAGCUGCUGUGGUGAUAGCUCAAUAUACGGUAACAGAGUCUAAUAACAUAACAGAUCUGCUCUGUCACUGCGUCACAGGAUUCCAGACUUUAUACGGAAGCUACUCUCUGGUCUAAUGCACUGAUUGACUGCUCAGAUCUACACACGCAGCAAACCUGGUUGAAGAAGCUGCUAUAACUGGACAUGUGCAGCAGCUCCGCCCUGUCCCUGUAACUGCAUGUUGUGGCAGCAGCUCUAGUCACGCCCACCAGGAUGCGCUCACCAUCGCCAUUUAUCCUGACACUCGGGAUCCUCCUCAGUAUCUACCAUCUGUCCACAUGUCAGGACUGGGGAGCCUUUCAGGGUAAUCACAUUAUUAGAAGAACGGACUUCACCUGUAGGGCUUUGAUGUAUCGGUUCAAUAAGAGAAACCUACCGGAAUGCAAAAGGGUUAACACCUUCAUCUAUACAUUAGAUCCCACCACCAUUUCGACGAUGUGCACUGGUUAUGGCCAUGGGACUAUAACAACUACCACAGCCUUCACCCUCAUUGAAUGCGCUAGAAAGUACAAGCGUAAGCGACCAUGUGAACAUCGUAGGCGGAUGCUAAACGAUGUGGUGUGUAUAACAUGCCAGAAUGAUUACCCUGCAUACGUUCAGAAUAUAGGCCCAUGCCUGUAAUCUAAACGCAACGUUUCUUCAGUGUCCCGCAACAUUGUAGAGCAGAGGAGGAAAGGUCUCUGUCUUCUGUAUAUCUCAGAGUAACAUUCAGGCCGUCCUCUGCACAAUCAACCCUUCUUUAUGCAGCACAUUCUCCACUCCAUAACAUAUAACAAAAGGCAAGCCCACUUCUGUAUAAGAUGCAGAAGUUGUGAUGUCACUGCUACAAAUACGUGACAGAAUGCUUCAUGUAACCAGUUGUAUAACGAGCAUUGCUUAUCUAGCUUAUUCUACAAAUAAUAAAUAUUCAAACUAAUUAAACCUGCA